rnacentral:lncRNA from 1 species
AAAAGUCCAAUGGAUCAUCAUAAGUCAAACAUGCUCAAAUAAGGUUUUACAAAAAAUUUCAUCAUUUUUUUGAAAACAGAAACUAAUUUUAAACAAUUAAAAAUGAAGAAAAAUAACAUAAUUGGAAUAAAAUCUCAAAUAAAUCUCAAAUUAAUUAAGAAAAUGAUGAGAAUAUUUUCAUAGAUCCAUCAUCAUCCAAAGGUGUUAAGAAAAUAUUUUUGGCAUUUUUUGAAUAUUGAAAAGUAUUUUAAAUGAAUUAAAAACAAC